rnacentral:lncRNA from 1 species
CGGGAAGCUUUUUGCCAGAAAUCCUACCUCCGGCCACCAUAGGUCGGAAUCUUUGGCUCAUCUUGUAGCCCUCAUCAAGGUGAGUAUUCCCUCAAAAGGAAUUAGUCUAUUUCGUUGUUGUUAUGGAGAAAUGUAUAAUUGAAGUUUUUAGGGAUUUAUGGAAGUUUUGAUUCAUUGGCCCUAGUUAGCCUUAGAAAUGGACUAAGUGCUAGUUAUGAAUGUUGUUGAGCAUGAUGAGAGAAAUAUUCUGUGAAAAUUUGAGAAGCAUUGGAGGUCGCCGGAAAACGGCUGCAGGCCGCCGCCACCGCCCCUUAGGGGCAGUUUUUCAUGCUUUUUGGGUUUAUUUUAAUGAGAGGAGUUUAAUGAAGUAUAGUUUGGAAUUUUUGGAGGAGAUUUGAUAAGGUUUAGGAUCUAUCUAUGAUUAAGGAUUUAGGCGGUUAUUCGAAUGGAAAUCCGGCAGUUGGUUUAGCAGGUUUUAAAGUCUAAAAAGGUUAAAUUAUGGCUUUCGGUAAGUGCGGAGUAAUGUGAACCUUAUUAGGUAAAAUGUGGAGAAGUUGGGCAAGAGAAAUGAAAUUAUAGGCUUCAUUUUUAUUUCAGGAAUUUUAUUAAAGUUUUGUCCUGGUUUGGAGGCUUAAUGAUUAUUUAUUGUUCAGGACGUGAGGAGGAUCAUUUGGAGGAAGCCUCGGGCCGUCGGCAAGCAUAGCCUAGCACGGUGAGUGGACCGUUGAUUUUAAUAUCAUGCAUGCGCUAAAGUUAUUUAAUUUCAAAGGCAUUUGGAGAUAUAAUAAUUUGUUGGAUUAUCGAGUUCCACUUAUUUUUUUCCGGAACUCUCUUGCUAAUUUUAGUUGACACGUGGGACGUGUCAAGUGUUUUAUAUUAUUUCCAUGUACAGUUGGGAACUGUACUGUGCGCUAUGAGUUUAUUAUAAUUUAUUUGGGGAAGUGUGGAUCUUUAUAUUUUAAUAUUGUACUUCACCAUAAAAGGGUUGAUAUAUAGAUUAUUGCUAGCUAACCUUAUUAGUGGUCCUCAUCAUAUGUGAGUCGCUAUUAUAGUCUUAUUAGCGGUUCUCAUCGUAUGUGAGUAGAGCGCUUAGCGUGGGACGCUAUUAUAGCCUGGGAGGCAACCGAUCGGUAUAGUAUAUAUAUAUAUAUAUAUAUUAUUGUUAGCUAGCCAUUAUUUAGCAGUCCUCAUCAUAUGAGAGUUGAGCGCUUAGCGUAGGACGCUAUUAUAACUUUUUAAGCGGUCCUCAUCAUAUGUGAGUAGAGCGCUUAGCGUGGGACGCUAUUAUAGCCUGGGAGGCUCAUUGUUAUGGUGAAACAUUUUCCCUAUUUUUAUUGAUUUAUUGGGAACCAAUGGGAUUGGUUCAUUAGUUUUAUCUAUAAUUAUUUUCGGAAAGAUUUCCAAGAAUGGUAUGCAUAAAAUAAAUAUUUUCUCAAUGGAAAAUAUGGGAAAAGCGUUAAAUUGAUUUCAAUGCUCUAUCAUUAAGUCCGUAUUUUUAUUAUUUAUUUUGUCCACUCACUCUAACGUUUUAAAUUCUUUCCCCUGGGCCUUUCGUUUUAAAUGCCCAGUCUGCAGAGUUCUGUUCGGCGAGGGUAGGAGGCGAGUCAUAUUUCCCACCUCAUCCAGUUUUC